rnacentral:rRNA from 1 species
UACGUAGGGUGCAGGCGUUAAUCGGAAUUACUGGGCGUAAAGCGUGCGCAGGCGGUUUGCUAAGACAGGUGUGAAAUCCCCGGGCUUAACCUGGGAACUGCGCUUGUGACUGCAUAGCUAGAGUACGGUAGAGGGGGAUGGAAUUCCGCGUGUAGCAGUGAAAUGCGUAGAUAUGCGGAGGAACACCGAUGGCGAAGGCAAUCCCCUGGACCUGUACUGACGCUCAUGCACGAAAGCGUGGGGAGCAAACAGG